rnacentral:lncRNA from 1 species
GCUUGUAAUAAUGUGCGACUAAUUUCCUUCGUUGUAAUGGUGCACGUGUUCUGUAAGGUUCAGGAAAGCAACCAGCAUGUGUGAAUUCCUCCUCAUCGCAGGCUCAGUAUCUGUGGGACAGUGGAGCUGGCCUCAUGAAGGCAAUCUGGGGUUUAUGAAAAAACAUGUGGUGCUGAUGCUGUUUUUAGGGCCCUCAGCAGUGAGGGGCAAGGCUGGCUCAGCAGAGCUGGCAGCCAAUUCCUCCCUGAGAUCUAUCCAGGAAAGCAGAGAGUACUGGGAAAUGUAGUCCCCCGGGCAGCCAUGACCAUAGGUCUAGCCUGGGGCAAAGCAUGCUGGGACUUAAAGGGCCUGUAUAAAGCACAUUCCAGGAGCUCCGGGAGAGAUGUAGGCGGAGUGGGUUAUGCUGAGAGGCAGUUCUGGAAUGGUGUGAUCUGGCCCAUGUUGUUAUCGGGGUCCUCUGACAUAAUCACUUCCAUUCAAGACAGUCAUGAUGGCAUAGGGAUAGGAUUGUCCAAAACGUCAGUGGGGUAAAAGCAGCAGCAGGGGAGGAAGAUCCAGUUUCCAUGGAAGUUUUCUGUGUAAUGAUGGACAGGUCAAGUUAAAUGGCAGGCACACAUGAUGGCCCAGGCUUGCUCCUGGGAUGAUGGAGCCCCAGCAGUGGUAAGUCUGGGUGGAACAUUGGCCCUGAUGGGUCUAGAGCUGACCUCAAAGUGGCAGGACUGCCCACUGGGAUGGGCUGAGGCCCGCUGCUCAGGAGCUGUGGCGAUUGAGUACCCACCAGGCGGCAGCCAUCCUAUUGCCAAGCCCAAGCACUGAAAAAUGACAAGUCAGGCGUCCAGAUCAGGACAUUGGCUUAAAGACUAUGAGAUUUAAAAAAAACAACAACAAAAGUUGGGUUCUUUUUGUCUUCAGUUUUCUGGCUUUAGGGUGAGCUCACUUCAUGUUUUCAAGCUUUCCUCAGAAAGCAUAAGGGCUGGAAACGUACUUUUAUUUGAAUGCAAUCUGUUGAUUUCAGCAGCUGAGGCUUUGAAAAACCACCAAAUACUGCGAGACUCACGAUAAAAUCUUAAGUUGGCAACACUGCAUCCACCAGCCGGGCUCCAAGAGCCCCAGAUUGGACUUCUUUAAAGCUGCCUUCGCCCAACAGAAUCUUGGGCAUUUGUCUUUCAUCUUCUGUUCAAACCCUCACUUGGUCCACACUUGCGUAUAUGGUCUUGGUGUUGGGAUAGACACACA